UUGCACGCUGGCGGCAUGCCUUACACAUGCAAGUCGAACGGUAACAGGUCUUCGGAUGCUGACGAGUGGCGAACGGGUGAGUAAUACAUCGGAACGUGCCCGAUCGUGGGGGAUAACGAGGCGAAAGCUUUGCUAAUACCGCAUACGAUCUACGGAUGAAAGCGGGGGAUCUUCGGACCUCGCGCGGACGGAGCGGCCGAUGGCAGAUUAGGUAGUUGGUGGGAUAAAAGCUUACCAAGCCGACGAUCUGUAGCUGGUCUGAGAGGAUGAUCAGCCACACUGGGACUGAGACACGGCCCAGACUCCUACGGGAGGCAGCAGUGGGGAAUUUUGGACAAUGGGCGAAAGCCUGAUCCAGCCAUGCCGCGUGCAGGAUGAAGGCCUUUGGGUUGUAAACUGCUUUUGUACGGAACGAAAAGCCUCUUUCUAAUAAAGAGGGGUCAUGACGGUACCGUAAGAAUAAGCACCGGCUAACUACGUG
rnacentral:rRNA from 1 species